CAUACCAAGAUGCUCUAAAAGAUCGUAGUUCUCAAGAAAAGGUACAAAAUAAAAAUAAAUAAAUAAAAACAUUAAAAAACAACAUUACGAUGUUUAAUUUUGAGCAAAAGUUGCACCUCCCUUAAAAAAAUUAAUUAAUAAAUCAUGUAUUUAAAUAGAAAAAAGUAGAAAAAAAUAAUUGAGAAAAUUAAAUCAAACAUGAACUUACUUUGAUUUUUGAACGUUGUCUAUACAAGCUAUAAUUUUUAGAGCAAACCUUCAC
rnacentral:pre_miRNA from 1 species